rnacentral:pre_miRNA from 1 species
GGGGGGGGGGGGCGGUCCCCUCAGCCUGGAUUGUGAGAGGGCACAGGCCAGGCUGAAGGGCCCCACUGGUGCAUG